AUGAAAAGAAUAUUCAGGCAAAAGCACAUUGGCAAGAGAAAGUAGUAAGGUCAGGAGGGGUAACAAAUACCUAGCAUCCUCAAUCACUUUCUGAAACAAAUUGCUUGUUGGCAAUAGAACAAGUAGUAAGGUCAACAGUAUUUGCUAGCAGGAAUGGUAGAAAGUGCAGAUGUACCUAAGCACGGUGCAAUAGAAGCACACCAACCUAGAGGAUUAGAUCACCAAGCUCGGAGUUGAAAGAGUACAUCUUCUGGGUGGCGAGUUCGUGGUAUGUGUUGAUCUGUUUCUGGCAAGUUUUAAAAUACACAGCGUCAUCCACAGCUGUAUUAUUGAAAUCUGCAACCUUACUCUAACACAUCAAGCAAUGUCUUUUUACAUAUGCUCAUGAGCUCAUCAACCAACACAUCGCAGAGAGAAGAAAAGAAGAAAGGAAAUGUAGAAAAGAAACAUAGCUCACCUAUUAAUCUCAAUGGUUGCUGCGACCUCCCACUCCCCUAGCCAAGUGAUGCUUCUUCUUGUCCUUUAAAAGAAACAUACACCCCACAACAUGCUAAGUUAGAACAUCUUUA
rnacentral:lncRNA from 1 species